rnacentral:lncRNA from 1 species
ACUCAGUUUACAUUCUCAGUGACAACGCGCGGGUGGCGUACGGUGACAUACCGGUACGAUACCCAGUGCUUCUCCACACGUCAUGAUUAACAUUAUUGGAGAUGCGGUGAUUUUUUUUGUCCACCAAACGUGGCGGCGUCUGU